rnacentral:rRNA from 1 species
UACGAAGGGGGCUAGCGUUGCUCGGAAUCACUGGGCGUAAAGCGCACGUAGGCGGGUCUUUAAGUCAGGGGUGAAAUCCUGGAGCUCAACUCCAGAACUGCCUUUGAUACUGAGGAUCUCGAGUCCGGGAGAGGUGAGUGGAACUCCGAGUGUAGAGGUGAAAUUCGUAGAUAUUCGGAAGAACACCAGUGGCGAAGGCGGCUCACUGGCCCGGUACUGACGCUGAGGCGCGAAAGCGUGGGGAGCAAACAGGG